CCCUCCAACUUUGGAAAAUGGUUUGCUAACGGAUGAAUACAUUUCUGAGACCGUAUUUCUUCCGAGUACAAGAGUUAGUUAUUUAUGUUAUCCAGGUUACCAGUUCGAGCAAGGAAGUUCAAGAUCUGUUCUCUGCAGGGCUGAUUCAACUUGGUCACCUCUGCGGGCAACUUGUGUACCAAAGAGCUGUGGUAAUCCUGGGGACCUUUUAAAUGGCUAUUAUAAGACCGAUGGUGUUACUUUUGGAAAUAAGGUUACAUUUUAUUGCGAUGAAGGCUGUCAAAUGCCCUGACCUUCCAGACCUUGCUAAUGGAAGAACACCAUUGCCAUCUGGUGGAGAAUUCUGGGAAUAUGGAAUGAUUGCAAAGUUUUCGUGUGAUGAUGACUACUCAUUAGUUGGUGCACGCACUCUUCGUUGUGAAGCAACUGGAGAUUGGGACAAGGCAAUUCCAACA